rnacentral:rRNA from 1 species
GAGUUUGAUCCUGGCUCAGAUUGAACGCUGGCGGCAUGCCUUACACAUGCAAGUCGAACGGCAGCAUGAUCUAGCUUGCUAGAUUGAUGGCGAGUGGCGAACGGGUGAGUAAUACAUCGGAACGUGCCCUGUAGUGGGGGAUAACUAGUCGAAAGAUUAGCUAAUACCGCAUACGACCUGAGGGUGAAAGUGGGGGACCGCAAGGCCUCAUGCUAUAGGAGCGGCCGAUGUCUGAUUAGCUAGUUGGUGGGGUAAAGGCCCACCAAGGCGACGAUCAGUAGCUGGUCUGAGAGGACGAUCAGCCACACUGGGACUGAGACACGGCCCAGACUCCUACGGGAGGCAGCAGUGGGGAAUUUUGGACAAUGGGCGAAAGCCUGAUCCAGCAAUGCCGCGUGUGUGAAGAAGGCCUGGUGUAAGU